rnacentral:rRNA from 2 species
AGAGUUUGAUCCUGGCUCAGGAUGAACGCUAGCUACAGGCUUAACACAUGCAAGUCGAGGGGAAACGACAUCGAAAGCUUGCUUUUGAUGGGCGUCGACCGGCGCACGGGUGAGUAACGCGUAUCCAACCUGCCCAUCACUUGGGGAUAACCUUGCGAAAGUAAGACUAAUACCCAAUGAUAUCUCUAGAAGACAUCUGAAAGAGAUUAAAGAUUUAUCGGUGAUGGAUGGGGAUGCGUCUGAUUAGCUUGUUGGCGGGGUAACGGCCCACCAAGGCGACGAUCAGUAGGGGUUCUGAGAGGAAGGUCCCCCACAUUGGAACUGAGACACGGUCCAAACUCCUACGGGAGGCAGCAGUGAGGAAUAUUGGUCAAUGGGCGAGAGCCUGAACCAGCCAAGUAGCGUGCAGGAUGACGGCCCUAUGGGUUGUAAACUGCUUUUAUAAGGGAAUAAAGUGAGUCUCGUGAGACUUUUUGCAUGUACCUUAUGAAUAAGGACCGGCUAAUUCCGUGCCAGCAGCCGCGGUAAUACGGAAGGUCCGGGCGUUAUCCGGAUUUAUUGGGUUUAAAGGGAGCGUAGGCCGGAGAUUAAGCGUGUUGUGAAAUGUAGACGCUCAACGUCUGCACUGCAGCGCGAACUGGUUUCCUUGAGUACGCACAAAGUGGGCGGAAUUCGUGGUGUAGCGGUGAAAUGCUUAGAUAUCACGAAGAACUCCGAUUGCGAAGGCAGCUCACUGGAGCGCAACUGACGCUGAAGCUCGAAAGUGCGGGUAUCGAACAGGAUUAGAUACCCUGGUAGUCCGCACGGUAAACGAUGGAUGCCCGCUGUUGGUCUGAAUAGGUCAGCGGCCAAGCGAAAGCAUUAAGCAUCCCACCUGGGGAGUACGCCGGCAACGGUGAAACUCAAAGGAAUUGACGGGGGCCCGCACAAGCGGAGGAACAUGUGGUUUAA